rnacentral:rRNA from 1 species
GGAUCGCNGAGCACGCCAAACGGAGGACGAGGGCGCCUAACGAAGGUGGCGUCGUGACUGGGGUG